rnacentral:rRNA from 1 species
ACCAGACUCCUACGGGAGGCAGCAGUGGGGAAUAUUGCACAAUGGGGGAAACCCUGAUGCAGCGACGCCGCGUGAGCGAUGAAGUAUUUCGGUAUGUAAAGCUCUAUCAGCAGGGAAGAAAAUGACGGUACCUGACUAAGAAGCCCCGGCUAACUACGUGCCAGCAGCCGCGGUAAUACGUAGGGGGCAAGCGUUAUCCGGAUUUACUGGGUGUAAAGGGAGCGUAGACGGCGGUGCAAGCCAGAUGUGAAAGCCCGGGGCUCAACCCCGGGACUGCAUUUGGAACUGUGCUGCUAGAGUGUCGGAGAGGCAGGCGGAAUUCCUGGUGUAGCGGUGAAAUGCGUAGAUAUCAGGAGGAACACCGGUGGCGAAGGCGGCCUGCUGGACUGCAACUGACGUUGAGGCCCGAAAGCGUGGGGAGCAAACAGGAUUAGAUACCCCCGUAGC